rnacentral:rRNA from 1 species
GGUGGGGUUUUGUUAAUUAGCAUACUUCAUUUGACGUUAGCUGCAGAAAGAAGCACCGGCUAACUCCGUGCCAGCAGCCGCGGUAAUACGGAGGGUGCGAGCGUUAAUCGGAAUUACUGGGCGUAAAGCGCAUGCAGGUGGUUUGUUAAGUCAGAUGUGAAAGCCCGGGGCUCAACCUCGGAAUUGCAUUUGAAACUGGCAAACUAGAGUACUGUAGAGGGGGGUAGAAUUUCAGGUGUAGCGGUGAAAUGCGUAGAGAUCUGAAGGAAUACCGGUGGCGAAGGCGGCCCCCUGGACAGAUACUGACACUCAGAUGCGAAAGCGUGGGGAGCAAACAGGAUUAGAUACCCUGGUAGUCCACGCCGUAAACGAUGUCUACUUGGAGGUUGUGGCCUUGAGCCGUGGCUUUCGGAGCUAACGCGUUAAGUAGACCGCCUGGGGAGUACGGUCGCAAGAUUAAAACUCAAAUGAAUUGACGGGGGCCCGCACAAGCGGUGGAGCAUGUGGUUUAAUUCGAUGCAACGCGAAGAACCUUACCUACUCUUGACAUCUACAGAAGCCAGCGGAGACGCAGGUGUGCCUUCGGGAACUGUAAGACAGGUGCUGCAUGGCUGUCGUCAGCUCGUGUUGUGAAAUGUUGGGUUAAGUCCCGCAACGAGCGCAACCCUUAUCCUUGUUUGCCAGCACUUCGGGUGGGAACUCCAGGGAGACUGCCGGUGAUAAACCGGAGGAAGGUGGGGACGACGUCAAGUCAUCAUGGCCCUUACGAGUAGGGCUACACACGUGCUACAAUGGCGCAUACAGAGGGCGGCCAACUUGCGAAAGUGAGCGAAUCCCAAAAAGUGCGUCGUAGUCCGGAUUGGAGUCUGCAACUCGACUCCAUGAAGUCGGAAUCGCUAGUAAUCGUGGAUCAGAAUGCCACGGUGAAUACGUUCCCGGGCCUUGUACACACCGCCCGUCACACCAUGGGAGUGGGCUGCAAAAGAAGUGGGUAGUUUAACCUUCGGGAGGACGCUCACCACUUUGUGGUUCAUGACUGGGGUGAAGUCGUAACAAGGUAACCAAUCUCUAGAGUCCCCCGGUCCCGGUUUG